GUCGGCUACGGUGACAUGCGACCGAUAGGAGUUUGGGGAAAGCUUGUAGGUUCAUUAUGUGCCAUCGCUGGUGUACUAACAAUUGCAUUACCCGUGCCUGUGAUUGUUUCAAAC
rnacentral:sRNA from 1 species